GCAUAGAAUUUUCGCCGUCGCCCUUUACAAAGAGGGAAUCUUUUGGAUUUCGACUGGCCGAAAUCGGCACUAUUUUUUCCGGGACUUUUUUACAUAUGCCUAGUUAGGCCUUGGUGCCUAGGCCCCAAAACCAGUCUCAGAUA